UACGGAAGGGGCAAGCGUUGUUCGGAAUCAUUGGGCGUAAAGGGUGCGUAGGCGGCGCGGUAAGUCGGAUGUGAAAUCUCGGAGCUUAACUUCGAAACUGCAUUCGAUACUGCCGUGCUUGAGGACUGGAGAGGAGACUGGAAUUUACGGUGUAGCGGUGAAAUGCGUAGAUAUCGUAAGGAAGACCAGUGGCGAAGGCGGGUCUCUGGACAGUUCCUGACGCUGAGGCACGAAGGUCAGGGGAGCAAACGGG
rnacentral:rRNA from 1 species